rnacentral:rRNA from 1 species
UAACAAGGAUUCCCCUAGUAACUGCGAGUGAAGCGGGAAAAGCUCAAAUUUAAAAUCUGGCGACCUUUGGCCGUCCGAGUUGUAAUCUAGAGAAGUGUUAUCCGCGCUGGACCGUGUACAAGUCUCCUGGAAUGGAGCGUCAUAGAGGGUGAGAAUCCCGUCUUUGACACGGACUGCCAGGGCUUUGUGAUGCGCUCUCAAAGAGUCGAGUUGUUUGGGAAUGCAGCUCAAAAUGGGUGGUAAAUUCCAUCUAAAGCUAAAUAUUGGCGAGAGACCGAUAGCGAACAAGUACCGUGAGGGAAAGAUGAAAAGAACUUUGGAAAGAGAGUUAAACAGUACGUGAAAUUGCUGAAAGGGAAACGCUUGAAGUCAGUCGCGUUGUUUGGGAAUCAACCUUGCUUUUGCUGGGCGUACUUUCCAGAUGACGGGCCAGCAUCAAUUUUGACCGUUGGAUAAAGAUUGGAGGAAUGUGGCAUCUUCGGAUGUGUUAUAACCUUCAGUUGCAUACAACGGUUGGGAUUGAGGAACUCAGCACGCCGCAAGGCCGGGUACUCGUACCACGUUCGUGCUUAGGAUGCUGGCAUAAUGGCUUUAAUCGACCCGUCUUGAAACACGGACCAAGGAGUCUAACAUGCCUGCGAGUGU